rnacentral:rRNA from 1 species
GGAGUCUGGACCGUCUCUCAGUUCCAAUGUGACCGUUCAUCCUCUCAGACCGGUUACCGAUCGUCGGCACGGUAAGCCUUUACCCCACCGUCUACCUAAUCGGACGCAAACCCCUCUCAAAGCGAUAAAUCUUUAAUACUUACUCCAUGCGUUGUAUGUACUUCAUUCGGUAUUAGCAACCCUUUCGAGCUGUUGUCCCCAUCUUUGAGGCAGGUUAUUUGCGCUUUACUCACCCGUUCGCCACUGGGACCAAAGUCCCCGUUCGACUUGCAUGUGUUAAGCACGCCGCCAGCGUGUC